rnacentral:rRNA from 1 species
UACGUAGGGCGCAAGCGUUGUCCGGAAUUAUUGGGCGUAAAGAGCUCGUAGGUGGCUUGUUGCGUCUGCCGUGAAAGCCCGUGGCUUAACUACGGGUCUGCGGUGGAUACGGGCAGGCUAGAGGCUGGUAGGGGCAAGCGGAAUUCCUGGUGUAGCGGUGAAAUGCGCAGAUAUCAGGAGGAACACCGGUGGCGAAGGCGGCUUGCUGGGCCAGUUCUGACGCUGAGGAGCGAAAGCGUGGGGAGCGAUCCGG